rnacentral:rRNA from 1 species
UACAGGGGGUGCAAACGUUGCUCGGAAUCAUUGGGCGUAAAGCGCACGUAGGCGGUUUGUUAUGUCGGAUGUGAAAGCCCUUGGCUCAACUGAGGAAGUGCAUCCGAAACUGGCAAGCUAGAGUACUAAAGAGGAUCGCGGAAUUCCCGGUGUAGAGGUGAAAUUCGUAGAUAUCGGGAGGAACACCGGUGGCGAAGGCGGGUCUCUGGGCAGUAACUGACGCUGAGGAGCGAAAGCGUGGGUAGCAAACAGG